GAAGGUGUGCUGUGAGGCAUGCUGGAGGUAUCAGAAGUGCGAAUGCUGACAUAAGUAACGAUAAAGCGGGUGAAAAGCCCGCUCGCCGGAAGACCAAGGGUUCCUGUCCAACGUUAAUCGGGGCAGGGUGAGUCGACCCCUAAGGCGAGGCCGAAAGGCGUAGUCGAUGGGAAACAGGUUAAUAUUCCUGUACUUGGUGUUACUGCGAAGGGGGGACGGAGAAGGCUAUGUUGGCCGGGCGACGGUUGUCCCGGUUUAAGCGUGUAGGCUGGUUUUCCAGGCAAAUCCGGAAAAUCAAGGCUGAGGCGUGAUGACGAGGCACUACGGUGCUGAAGCAACAAAUGCCCUGCUUCCAGGAAAAGCCUCUAAGCAUCAGGUAACAUCAAAUCGUACCCCAAACCGACACAGGUGGUCAGGUAGAGAAUACCAAGGCGCUUGAGAGAACUCGGGUGAAGGAACUAGGCAAAAUGGUGCCGUAACUUCGGGAGAAGGCACGCUGAUAUGUAGGUGAAGUCCCUUGCGGAUGGAGCUGAAAUCAGUCGAAGAUACCAGCUGGCUGCAACUGUUUAUUAAAAACACAGCACUGUGCAAACACGAAAGUGGACGUAUACGGUGUGACGCCUGCCCGGUGCCGGAAGGUUAAUUGAUGGGGUCAGCGCAAGCGAAGCUCUUGAUCGAAGCCCCGGUAAACGGCGGCCGUAACUAUAACGGUCCUAAGGUAGCGAAAUUCCUUGUCGGGUAAGUUCCGACCUGCACGAAUGGCGUAAUGAUGGCCAGGCUGUCUCCACCCGAGACUCAGUGAAAUUGAACUCGCUGUGAAGAUGCAGUGUACCCGCGGCAAGACGGAAAGACCCCGUGAACCUUUACUAUAGCUUGACACUGAACAUUGAGCCUUGAUGUGUAGGAUAGGUGGGAGGCUUGGAAGUGUGGACGCCAGUCUGCAUGGAGCCGACCUUGAAAUACCACCCUUUAAUGUUUGAUGUUCUAACGUUGACCCGUGAUCCGGGUUGCGGACAGUGUCUGGUGGGUAGUUUGACUGGGGCGGUCUCCUCCUAAAGAGUAACGGAGGAGCACGAAGGUUGGCUAAUCCUGGUCGGACAUCAGGAGGUUAGUGCAAUGGCAUAAGCCAGCUUGACUGCGAGCGUGACGGCGCGAGCAGGUGCGAAAGCAGGUCAUAGUGAUCCGGUGGUUCUGAAUGGAAGGGCCAUCGCUCAACGGAUAAAAGGUACUCCGGGGAUAACAGGCUGAUACCGCCCAAGAGUUCAUAUCGACGGCGGUGUUUGGCACCUCGAUGUCGGCUCAUCACAUCCUGGGGCUGAAGUAGGUCCCAAGGGUAUGGCUGUUCGCCAUUUAAAGUGGUACGCGAGCUGGGUUUAGAACGUCGUGAGACAGUUCGGUCCCUAUCUGCCGUGGGCGCUGGAGAACUGAGGGGGGCUGCUCCUAGUACGAGAGGACCGGAGUGGACGCAUCACUGGUGUUCGGGUUGUCAUGCCAAUGGCACUGCCCGGUAGCUAAAUGCGGAAGAGAUAAGUGCUGAAAGCAUCUAAGCACGAAACUUGCCCCGAGAUGAGUUCUCCCUGACUCCUUGAGAGUCCUGAAGGAACGUUGAAGACGACGACGUUGAUAGGCCGGGUGUGUAAGCGCAGCGAUGCGUUGAGCUAACCGGUACUAAUGAACCGUGAGGCUUAACCUUACAACGCCGAAGGUGUUU
rnacentral:rRNA from 1 species